rnacentral:rRNA from 1 species
UACAGAGGUCUCAAGCGUUGUUCGGAUUCAUUGGGCGUAAAGGGUGCGUAGGUGGCGCCGUAAGUCAGGUGUGAAAUUUCGGAGCUUAACUCCGAAACUGCAUUUGAUACUGCGGUGCUUGAGGACUGGAGAGGAGACUGGAAUUUACGGUGUAGCAGUGAAAUGCGUAGAGAUCGUAAGGAAGACCAGUGGCGAAGGCGGGUCUCUGGGCCGAUACUGACGCUGAGGCGCGAAAGCGUGGGGAGCAAACAGG